GCUGCUCGAGCGGCCGCCAGUGUGAUGGAUAUCUGCAGAAUUCGCCCUUGGAGCGUGUGGUUUAAUUCGACGCGUACGCGAAGAACCUUACCAGGGCUUGACAUGACCACCGAUACUCUAGAGAUAGGGUAGCCCUUCGGGGGGUGGCCACAGGUGUUGCAUGGCUGUCGUCAGCUCGUGCCGUGAGGUGUUGGGUUAAGUCCCGCAACGAGCGCAACCCUCGUCGCUAGUUAGGCUGUCUAGCGAGACUGCCGGANGCAAACCGGAGGAAGGCGGGGAUGACGUCAAGUCAGCAUGGCCCUUACGUCCUGGGCUACACACACGCUACAAUGGCCGGUACAGCGGGUAGCANGAACGCGAGUUGGAGCUAAUC
rnacentral:rRNA from 1 species